GAUGAACGCUGGCUGUGUGCCUAAUACAUGCAUGUCGAGCGAAGCACUUCGGUGCUUAGCGGCGAAUGGGUGAGUAACACGUACUUAACCUACCUUAUUGAUUGGGACAACAGUUGGAAACGACUGCUAAUACCGAAUACGCUAUUUGGGGGCGAUCCCCGACGUAAUGAAAGAACCCGUUUCGGGUUCGGCAAUGAGAUGGGAGUGCGCUACAUUAGUUAGUUGGUGGGGUAAAGGACCGUACCAAGACGAUGAUGUAUAGCGGGGUUGGUAGAAGCUGAUCCGCCACACUGGGACUGAGAUACGGCCCAGACUCCUACGGGAGGCAGCAGUAGGGAAUUUUCCACAAUGAGCGAAAGCUUGAUGGAGCGACACAGCGUGCAGGAUGAAGCCUUUCGAGGUGUAAACUGCUGUUAUAAGAGAAGAAAACCCAUACUAGGAAAAUGAGUAUGGCUUGACGGUACCUUAUCAGAAAGC
rnacentral:rRNA from 1 species